AUACUACUCCCUCCGUUCCGAAUUACUUGUCGCGGGUAUGGUUGUAUCUAGAUGUAUUUUAAUUUUAGAUAAAUCCAUUUCUGUGACGAGUAAUUUGAAACGAAGGAAGUACAAU
rnacentral:pre_miRNA from 1 species